rnacentral:lncRNA from 1 species
CACGCCUGCUGCAACACAGAGGUGCGACUGGGGCUGCACAUUUCACGGAGGUGUUGGGAGUUCCGCCCCUUCUGAUGUGGGGAAAGAGAUCCCCAGGUGCCCCUGCAUCUGCCCAAACUGUGGCUGUGGAUCGGAGGCUCCAGGUUGGCAGGUUGGGAGCUUCCGGGUGCAGCUGCGACCGCCCUCCCAGGUGCAGGACCCUGGUGUUUCUGCAGCCUGCACCCUUGGGGGCCCCAGGAAAGACCCAUAUCCUUGCAGGCUUGGAGGUGUUUGCUUCUUCUGCCUGGCCUCUCUCGGCUCCCGGUGCAUGCUCUCAUAUCUGAGUGGGGGUUGGUGCUGAGCCCCGGGGCCGUGAAUUGCAGCAGGAGGCAGAUUUAUUCCUGGGCAGAAGGUGGCAGAUCCCAAGUAAGGGGACCUUCAAGCCAGGGAGGGCCUGAAGGCUGGUGGCUGGGCUACCAGUCCCACCGACCAGAGUGGGGAUUCGUGGGCCUCUUCUGGGCCACCCAUAGCCACCCAUGGACCAAUCAGCAAGCACAUCCUCCCCUCUGAGGUCCGUAAAAGCCCUGGGCGCAGCCUGAGCAGGGCAGAGGAAGGCCAGAGGUGAAGGAGUCAGAGAGGCGACAGGAUAGGCAGCUGCCGAGAGAAGUACGCCUCUCUGCUGAGACCUGGAGAUGACGGGAAGGCCAGAUGCAGAGAGGAGCUACCCUCUCUGCUUAGAGCUGCCAGGAGGAGCUACCAACCUUCUCUGCUGAGAGCUGCAGAGAUGACCUGCUGGCAGAGAGGAGCUACCCACUGCGGGUCUCCUCUGAUCUGUUGUAAUGCUGAAUAAAGCUUCUUUUCAUCUUGUUCACCUUCCACUUGUCUGCAUACCUCAUUCUACCCGGACGCAAGCAAGAACUCGAGCAAAGGCACAACCAGCCACAGAGGUUUCUGGCCAGAAAAUCGACACCCCAAAAGUCCUAUAACAAUCUGAUUCUAAAAGCAACAUCAUCUUUUCAAUGUAAUUCUAAAAGAAUUUGGGAUUAUUUUAUUUAAUUUCAGGAUCCCCUCUGAAGAAAAUCAACUUACAAAGGAUGGCAGGUCUUAAGAAAGGUACUUAGCAAGUGCUGGUACAUUCUAAGCAAUCAAUAUUUGUCAAUGUUCAGUAAUUGUACAAUUGUACUAGAGAAAACAAUUCCAGGGGCUUAAAAUUAUCUUAUACAAGGAUCCACUUUAUUAUUAUUUUUUCUGUUUGUUUUGGAUAAAUUACUGACUCCUUAUCUCAGUUAUGUUAUGUGUUAAAUGUUUACAGUGUUAUUUUGUAUCUCUCAAGGGCUUUUGUUAGAAUUUUCAAUGAGAUACCUUAAAACCUCUAAAAAGAAAAUGGAUGUUAUAAGUAAAUAAAAAUAAGUCUGAAUGGCCAAAAAUAU